rnacentral:rRNA from 1 species
UGGUGGAGUGAUUUGUCUGGUUAAUUCCGUUAACGAACGAGACCUUAACCUGCUAAAUAGGUGCGCAAGCGCAAGCUUGCAGUGCGUUCUUAGAGGGACAAACCACGGUUAGUGGUUGGAAGUUUGAGGCAAUAACA